rnacentral:rRNA from 1 species
UACGUAGGGUGCAAGCGUUAAUCGGAAUUACUGGGCGUAAAGCGUGCGCAGGCGGCUUUGCAAGACAGAUGUGAAAUCCCCGGGCUUAACCUGGGAACUGCAUUUGCGACUGCAUGGCUGGAGUGCGGCAGAGGGGGAUGGAAUUCCGCGUGUAGCAGUGAAAUGCGUAGAUAUGCGGAGGAACACCGAUGGCGAAGGCAAUCCCCUGGGCCUGCACUGACGCUCAUGCACGAAAGCGUGGGGAGCAAACAGG